ACGAUGUUGGUUUGGUUUUAUUCUCUGCCUUUUCACUUCCAGCCAGCAAAAAAAGCAGGCAGCACAGACUGUGCCCUGUGCGAGGGGUGGACAGCAGCAGGGCAGUGUCCCACCCUUGGCAUCUCAGGAUGGACAAGGAAUGGGAGGCCCCGCUUCCCAGAGAGUGGCUGGCGUUUGGCAGGACCCCAGAACCACUGGAGAAGCAAGCGGAAAACUCUGGGAAAAUAUGCACUGACAAAUGCUCCAGCCCUCUGAUUAUCUUCAUUAAUGUCAUCUUGGACCUGCUCCAAAAUGUCCAUGUCCUUCAUAUAUUGGGGUUCCCAGGCUAAGAUGCAGCACUCCAGAUGGAGUAUCACCAGAGAGGAGAAGAUGGCAAGACGUGCUUGCCAUGUUUCGUUUGAUGCAGCCCAGGACACAGGUGUCUCUCUGUGCUGCGAGUGCACAGGUCCCUGCGGAUGUCUGACACGCGGGGGGUUAACACGGAGAGGCUCCAGCGCCGCUUGGCAGCCCCGGUGAGCAGGGCAGGAGCCGCUGCCGGCCGGUGUCCGAUCCCCC
rnacentral:lncRNA from 1 species